GCUCAACGGAUAAAAGGUACCCCGGGGAUAACAGGCUGAUCUUCCCCAAGAGUCCAUAUCGACGGGAUGGUUUGGCACCUCGAUGUCGGCUCGUCGCAUCCUGGGGCUGGAGUCGGUCCCAAGGGUUGGGCUGUUCGCCCAUUAAAGCGGUACGCGAGCUGGGUUUAGAACGUCGUGAGACAGUUCGGUCCCUAUCCGCUGUGCGCGUAGGAGUCUUGAGAAGGGCUGUCCCUAGUACGAGAGGACCGGGACGGACGAACCUCUGGUGUGCCAGUUGUUCUGCCAAGGGCAUGGCUGGUUGGCUACGUUCGGGAGGGAUAACCGCUGAAAGCAUCUAAGCGGGAAGCCUGCUUCGAGAUGAGGACUCCCACCUCCUAGAGAGGGUAAGGCUCCCAGUAGACGACUGGGUUGAUAGGCCGGAUAUGGAAGCACGGUAACGUGUGGAGUUGACCGGUACUAAUAGGCCGAGGGCUUGUCCUCAGUUG
rnacentral:rRNA from 1 species